rnacentral:rRNA from 1 species
GAUGAACGCUGGCGGCGUGCCUAAUACAUGCAAGUCGAGCGAACGGACGAGAAGCUUGCUUCUCUGAUGUUAGCGGCGGACGGGUGAGUAACACGUGGAUAACCUACCUAUAAGACUGGGAUAACUUCGGGAAACCGUAGCUAAUACCGGAUAAUAUUUUGAACCGCAUGGUUCAAAAGUGAAAGACGGUCUUGCUGUCACUUAUAGAUGGAUCCGCGCUGCAUUAGCUAGUUGGUAAGGUAACGGCUUACCAAGGCAACGAUGCAUAGCCGACCUGAGAGGGUGAUCGGCCACACUGGAACUGAGACACGGUCCAGACUCCUACGGGAGGCAGCAGUAGGGAAUCUUCCGCAAUGGGCGAAAGCCUGACGGAGCAACGCCGCGUGAGUGAUGAAGGUCUUCGGAUCGUAAAACUCUGUUAUUAGGGAGGAACAUAUGUGUAAGUAACUGUGCACAUCUUGACGGUACCUAAUCAGAAAGCCACGGCUAACUACGUGCCAGCAGCCGCGGUAAUACGUAGGUGGCAAGCGUUAUCCGGAAUUAUUGGGCGUAAAGCGCGCGUAGGCGGUUUUUUAAGUCUGAUGUGAAAGCCCACGGCUCAACCGUGGAGGGUCAUUGGAAACUGGAAAACUUGAGUGCAGAAGAGGAAAGUGGAAUUCCAUGUGUAGCGGUGAAAUGCGCAGAGAUAUGGAGGAACACCAGUGGCGAAGGCGACUUUCUGGUCUGUAACUGACGCUGAUGUGCGAAAGCGUGGGGAUCAAACAGGAUUAGAUACCCUGUAGUCCACGCCGUAAACGAUGAGUGCUAAGUGUUAGGGGGUUUCCGCCCCUUAGUGCUGCAGCUAACGCAUUAAGCACUCCGCCUGGGGAGUACGACCGCAAGGUUGAAACUCAAGGGAAUUGACGGGGACCCGCACAAGCGGUGGAGCAUGUGGUUUAAUUCGAAGCAACGCGAAGAACCUUACCAAAUCUUGACAUCCUUUGACAACUCUAGAGAUAGAGCCUUCCCCUUCGGGGGACAAAGUGACAGGUGGUGCAUGGUUGUCGUCAGCUCGUGUCGUGAGAUGUUGGGUUAAGUCCCGCAACGAGCGCAACCCUUAAGCUUAGUUGCCAUCAUUAAGUUGGGCACUCUAAGUUGACUGCCGGUGACAAACCGGAGGAAGGUGGGGAUGACGUCAAAUCAUCAUGCCCCUUAUGAUUUGGGCUACACACGUGCUACAAUGGACAAUACAAAGGGCAGCGAAACCGCGAGGUCAAGCAAAUCCCAUAAAGUUGUUCUCAGUUCGGAUUGUAGUCUGCAACUCGACUACAUGAAGCUGGAAUCGCUAGUAAUCGUAGAUCAGCAUGCUACGGUGAAUACGUUCCCGGGUCU